GCUUUUUACAAGAAGCUGUUGGAGGUAGAGAGAGAACAUUAAAGGGUAUUUAUCUCAUAAACAAUAUCAACGCUAGCUCAAAGAGGAAGGGGGCACAAGGAAAUCCUGAAGUAUUACUUGAAACCCUAAGAAUACGACGAGAAGAGGAGGAAGUGGAGGAUGAGGAGUGAAUAAUGCAGAAACUAUAAUUAGAAUCAGGAUUUUAUCAUCUCUCAAUGCUCAAAGCCCUUCACAUUGUAAUAUCUGAGCAGCUAGGAUAACCCAUGAUAAAGAAAUAGCUAGUAUAAAUAAAGUUAAAAUUAAUCAGCCAAUGGCAUU
rnacentral:misc_RNA from 1 species